rnacentral:rRNA from 1 species
GUGCCAGCCGCCGCGGUAAUACGUAGGAUGCAAGCGUUGUCCGGAAUUACUGGGCGUAAAGGGCGAGCAGGUGGCACUACAAGUCUGAUGUAAAAUCUCCCGGCUUAAYUGGGAGGGGCCAUUGGAAACUGUAGAGCUGGAGUGCAGGAGAGGCUAACGGAAUUCCCGGUGUAGUGGUGAAAUGCGUAGAUAUCGGGAGGAACACCAGUGGCGAAGGCGGUUAGCUGGCCUGUAACUGACACUGAGGCGCGAAGGCUAGGGGAGCGAACAGGAUUAGAUACCCUGGUAGUCCUAGCAGUAAACGAUGGAUACUAGGUGUUGGGGGAAAUUGACCCCCUCAGUGCCGCAGCAAACGCAAUAAGUAUCCCGCCUGGGGAGUACGGUCGCAAGAUUAAAACUCAAAGGAAUUGACGGGGGCCCGCACAAGCAGCGGAGCGUGUGGUUUAAUUCGACGCGACGCGAAGAACCUUACCAGGGCUUGACAUGGCACGUUCAGGGGUGGAAACAUCCUGGCCGCAAGGCGAGUGUCACAGAUGCUGCAUGGCUGUCGUCAGCUCGUGUCGUGAGAUGUCGGGUUAAGUCCCGCAACGAGCGCAACCCCUGUGGUUAGUUGAAUGAUCUAACCAGACUGCCGGUAGAAAACCGGAGGAAGGUGGGGAUGACGCCAAGUCAGCAUGGCUCUUACGUCCUGGGCUACACACACGCUACAAUGGUCGGUACAAAGGGUUGCCAAGCCGCGAGGUGGAGCCAAUCCCAAAAAGCCGAUCUCAGUUCGGAUAGCAGGCUGCAACUCGCCUGCUCGAAGUCGGAGUUGCUAGUAACCGUGGGUCAGCACACUACGGUGAAUAUGUUCCCGGGCCUUGCACUCACCGCCCGUC